GAUGAACGCUGGCGGCGUGCCUAAUACAUGCAAGUCGAGCGAACGGACGAGAAGCUUGCUUCUCUGAUGUUAGCGGCGGACGGGUGAGUAACACGUGGAUAACCUACCUAUAAGACUGGGAUAACUUCGGGAAACCGGAGCUAAUACCGGAUGAUAUUUUGAACCGCAUGGUUCAAAAGUGAAAGACGGUCUUGCUGUCACUUAUAGAUGGAUCCGCGCUGCAUUAGCUAGUUGGUAAGGUAACGGCUUACCAAGGCAACGAUGCAUAGCCGACCUGAGAGGGUGAUCGGCCACACUGGAACUGAGACACGGUCCAGACUCCUACGGGAGGCAGCAGUAGGGAAUCUUCCGCAAUGGGCGAAAGCCUGACGGAGCAACGCCGCGUGAGUGAUGAAGGUCUUCGGAUCGUAAAACUCUGUUAUUAGGGAAGAACAUAUGUGUAAGUAACUGUGCACAUCCUGACGGUACCUAAUCAGAAAGCCACGGCUAACUACGU
rnacentral:rRNA from 1 species